rnacentral:rRNA from 1 species
GCCGCAGAGUUUGAUCAUGGCUCAGGAUGAACGCUAGCGGCAAGCUUAAUACAUGCAAGUCGAGGGGCAGCAGGUUUGUAGCAAUACAAAUGCUGGCGACCGGCAAACGGGUGCGGAACACGUACAGAACCUUCCUUUAAGUGGGGAAUAGCCCAGGGAAACUUGGAUUAAUACCCCGUAAUAUAUAGAAGUGGCAUCACUUUUAUAUUAUAGCUCAGGCGCUUGAAGAUGGCUGUGCGGCUGAUUAGGUAGUUGGCGGGGUAACGGCCCACCUAGCUUGCGAUCAGUAACUGGUGUGAGAGCACGACCAGUCACACGGGCACUGAGACACGGGCCCGACUCCUACGGGAGGCAGCAGUAAGGAAUAUUGGGCAUGGACGCAAGUCUGACCCAGCUAUGCCGCGUGGAGGAUGAAGGUCCUCUGGAUUGUAAACUUCUUUUAUCUGGGAAGAAACCUAUUUUUUCUAAAAUAGCUGACGGUACCAGG